rnacentral:rRNA from 1 species
AACGAACGCUGGCGGCAUGCCUAACGCAUGCAAGUCGAACGAGACCUUCGGGUUUAGUGGCGCACGGGUGCGUAACGCGGGGGAACCUGCCCUUAGGUUCGGAAUAACUCCCCGAAAGGGGUGCGAAUACCGGCGAAUGUCUUCCGACCAAAGAUUUAUUGCGUUUGGAUGGGCUUGCGUUGGAUUAGCUAGUUGGUAGGGUAAAAGCCUUCCAAGGCGACGAUGCGUAGCUGGUUUGAAAGGAUGAUCAGCCACACUGGUACUGGGCAACGGCCCAGACUCCUACGGGAGGCAGCAGUGGGGAAUAUUGGACAAUGGGCGAUAGCCUGAUCCAGCAAUGCCGCGUGAGUGAUGAAGGCCUUAGGGUUGUAAAGCUCUUUUACCCGGGAUGAUAAUGACAGUACCGGGAGAAUAAGCACCGGCUAACUCCGUG